rnacentral:rRNA from 1 species
CAGUCGCCGCGGUAACACCGAGGAUGCAAGCGUUAUCCGGAAUGAUUGGGCGUAGAGGGCGCGUAGGCGGUUUGACAAGUCUGAUGUGAAAUCUCUGGGCUCAACCCAGAGUCUGCAUCGGAAACUGUCGAGCUUGAGUAUGGGAGAGGUGAGUGGAAUUUCCGGUGUAGCGGUGAAAUGCGUAGAUAUCGGAAGGAACACCUGUGGCGAAAGCGGCUCACUGGACCAUUACUGACGCUGAGGCGCGAAAGCUAGGGGAGCAAACAGGAUUAGAUACCCGAGUAGUCCCUGUCUCUUAUAC